rnacentral:rRNA from 1 species
CGUAAAGCGCGCGCAGGCGGUUUCUUAAGUCUGAUGUGAAAGCCCACGGCUCAACCGUGGAGGGUCAUUGGAAACUGGGGAACUUGAGUGCAGAAGAGAAAAGCGGAAUUCCACGUGUAGCGGUGAAAUGCGUAGAGAUGUGGAGGAACACCAGUGGCGAAGGCGGCUUUUUGGUCUGUAACUGACGCUGAGGCGCGAAAGCGUGGGGAGCAAACAGGAUUAGAUACCCC